rnacentral:lncRNA from 10 species
GCUUCCCACUGCUUUGUUUACCUAAGCAAGCCUGGGCAAUGGCGGGCGCCCCUCCCCCAGCCUCGGUGCCGCCUUGCAGUUUGAUCUCAGACUGCUGUGCUAGCAAUCAAGGAGACUCCAUGGGCGUAGGACCGUCCGAGCCAGGUUUUGGUGAUGUAAAAUGAAUGAAUCACAGUCCUGGUCCUCAAAGAUAGCCAUACUGAAGGAGAUGGACAUGAACAUAAAGAACCUCCAUGCUGAAUGAGAAGCCCAUCACAGCCCAUGAUGACCUGUAUAAUGUGCUUCUGGGAGAAAAGAAGUCUCAAAACCUAAGGGAGAUACCCAGAGUAAUUUCUCUAAGGAGUUGUUUGAGAUUGAUUGAAGACCUCAAUUGUGAGAAAAAACAAACUCAGAGAGGGCAGAGAAAGGCAACUGAGACCUUGCCAUACAAUGCCUUGGUGGGAUGGACUUUCUGAACCCAUAAAGUUACUGGAGAAGGGUGUGUCUCUCAUAUCUGAGUACUUCACAGAAAUAUGCAUAUUUAAGACUCAAG